rnacentral:rRNA from 1 species
UACAGAGGUCCCGAGCGUUGUUCGGAUUCAUUGGGCGUAAAGGGUGCGUAGGCGGCGAGGCAAGUCUGAUGUGAAAUCCCGGGGCUCAACCCCGGAACUGCAUUGGAUACUGCCUUGCUUGAGUACUGGAGAGGGAACUGGAAUUUACGGUGUAGCAGUGAAAUGCGUAGAGAUCGUAAGGAAGGCCAGUGGCGAAGGCGAGUUCCUGGACAGUGACUGACGCUGAGGCACGAAGGCCAGGGGAGCAAACGGG